UUCUGCCUCUCCGUGUCCCCCCCCCCUUUUGCCAACUCUGAUUCUCGGUCCAAUGAGACGGAGGUGAGACCCCCCAGGAGGCCGAGGGUGGCUUGGCAGGCGUGGAAUCCAGAAGAGGAAGAGGAGAACCAGGUGGAGAUCAUACGUCCACGUACUACCAUAUGGGAGCUGUGGAGAAAAGCGGCCAUUCUAUGCAUCGGUGAGUUUCUGAAGAGACAGGACAAGGAUGAGCGACAGAAAAUCAAAUUCCUGAGCAGCAUCUGCGUACUGUGCAAAUGCAAGGACACGUCGCUCGACUUGAAUACUUUCUGCCGAGAAAACCAGCUGGCAGAGAAUGUCCAGGUGAGGAGAUAUGCACUGGGCUGGAGACGGGGGCAUGGACCCCCUGCACCUUGUGUGGACAGGACUGGCACGGGGAGAAGUGAGCACGGACGUGGAACUGUCUUCUGGUGGCUGCCACAUCCCGUCCCUCCUGUGUUCUGUAGGCGCUGAUCGAUGAGGAGGCCAUGCACGCUUUGUGCUCAGUGAUAAAGCAGAAAGUCAUGCUGACCUUUGCUGACAUGAGGUAGCUGCCCAGGCCCACAUUUGGCUAGCACGGCCCCAGGGCAGGCUCCUGGUGGCCUCGAAGCUGGCAGGGAGGUUCCCUCCUCCGCGUGGAGGGCCAUGUCCUCCUUGGCAAAGCCUCAAGGCACAGUGUCCAACAGGCUCCUCUCUCCCCUUCCAGCACUGUGGAGACAGCACUGGAAGGCAAAACAGAGAGCAUCCUGAAUUCCUGCUUCAACAGUGUCUUCUUUUUGCCUCCGGAACUGGACGUACCAGAAGAGGAGCAAACUCUCUACACUAAGGUGGGUGCUGGGUGAGCCACCGGAACCCCAGGUCCCUUUGGGCUGCUCCCUGGCUCCUUGUGCUGAGACCACAGGAGAGCCAGGCAGGGCAGGAAGCCAGCUUUGCUUUUCCACCCUCGUCUCUUCUUUGGGGAUAGGGUUAGGAUGAGGUGCCCUGCGAGGUGCCGCAGGUGCCCUUCUACAACUCUCUGUCCUCUUGCAGACCAUGAUUGCCAUGAACGUCAUGCUGCGAGCCUUGGUGCACAACUGCCCCAGCUCCAGAAUGAGGGAGGAGAUGUGCAGCAUCUUUCAGGUCUGGCAGCUACGGAGAGUGGGGUCACUAGGAGGGUUCCACACCCCGAGGGAUGCGCGUGUCGCUCCUGCAGUGGCACAGACCCUCCUUGCCCCAGACAGUCCUACAAAGGAUCCCAUCCCUGCUGCUCUGCUCUGCUCUGCUCUUCCUUCCCAGUGGGGAAGAUCCCAGAGCUCCUGCUGGAGCCACGCAAGCUCCCAGGGCAAGUACCAGCAGAUUCUCUCCUUGCAGGCUCUGCUCCACUUCUUCCACUCCCAGCACAUGCACGUUCGUACGAGAGCCCUGUACGGGGUUUUACGGAUGAUCACGGACUUUAUAGAAAAAGUAAGGAGCCAGGCACCCUCCAGCCAGGCUGUCUCCCAUCCUCCACAUCCCAGAGCAGCUCAGGGGUGCCUGCAGCCGGGGCACAGCUGGGAGCUCUCAGCAGGGCUCUGCCCCCAGACAAGGGUCUUUGCCCCUUCUUCGCCCCCGCUCUUCCCUCUCCACGCCCUGCUCUGCCUCCACUCAACCCCUCCUCUCUUCUCCUUCUGUCACCCAGGACUGGUACUGCGCUGCAAAUUGCGGGUUUAUAUAUGAGUCACUCAUCGAGGUCUACUUCCCAAUCCUGGGACAGCUGCUGGGUCACCUCUGCCUUUUCAGUUGUGGCCAACAUGCCACCAGAGUUCCAGCUACAGAUGCUCUUUAUCGCCUCUAUGCAUUUGUCAAACGCGAUAGAAGUAAGAGAAGAUGGGUUGGGCAGCAUCUCUGCGCUCCCGUGUCUGCUCGUUGUCUCCUGUUCUUGGGCACUGUUAAGCCUGGAGACCGUGGAGUCUGCAAGUUCCCUGGGCUCUUUUACUCUUCAGAGCAGCUUCAUCCUUCCUAAGCUGCCUCUCGUUCCAAGCACCCAUCACCUUUAGCUGUACAGUCCCUUUCCUCCACUCUCUUCUCCGUGGGUCCCAUCAGGCUAUGUCUGCUCACCAAUGGUCUCCAACACCACGGGUCUCCUCAGGCCUUUUCAGAUUAAAGCAGCUUUUCCCCACUUGCUGAGUUUGAUGGCAAAGACACUGUUUCCUUCUGACUCUUCUGUGUUCCCUCCCUUUUAGGAACAGCCCUGACAGAGGAGAUGGAAAAGUACGUGCAUCUCCGGGAGAAGCUGCAGGAUACUAAUUUUGCAUGCGAUAACUUGUGCAGUCCCAGUGAUUGUGCCAAGGUAACCUUCUGCCUUGCUGAGGAUCUCGUCCACAGCAUCAGCAGGAAAUGUUUGUGAGCAAAGGGAGUGUCACGGCAGCAGAUCCAGCCCUCCAGGCUGUCAGCAAGCCCUUCUUACCGACUGCCCAUGCCCCCGC
rnacentral:lncRNA from 1 species